AUACGUAGGGUGCAAGCGUUGUCCGGAAUUAUUGGGCGUAAAGAGCUCGUAGGCGGUUUGUCGCGUCUGCUGUGAAAAUCCAAGGCUCAACCUUGGACCUGCAGUGGGUACGGGCAAGCUAGAGUGCGGUAGGGGAGAUGGGAAUUCCUGGUGUAGCGGUGGAAUGCGCAGAUAUCAGGAGGAACACCAAUGGCGAAGGCACAUCUCUGGGCCGUAACUGACGCUGAGGAGCGAAAGCGUGGGGAGCGAACAGGAUUAGAUACCCUGGUAGUCCACGCCGUAAACGGUGGGUGCUAGUUGUGGGCCACAUUCCACGUGGUCUGUGACGAAGUUAACACAUUAAGCACCCCGCCUGGGGAGUACGGUCGCAAGACUAAA
rnacentral:rRNA from 1 species